UACGGAGGGUGCAAGCGUUGCUCGGAAUUAUUGGGCGUAAAGGGUAGGUAGGUGGUCUCGUUUGUCUGGGAGUGAAAUCCCUGGGCUUAACUCAGGAAGUGCCUCAGAAACGGCGAGACUGGAGUCCUGGAGAGGGUCGUGGAAUUCCCGGUGUAGCGGUGAAAUGCGUAGAGAUCGGGAGGAACACCAGAGGCGAAGGCGGCGACCUGGACAGGAACUGACACUCAACUACGAAAGCGUGGGGAGCAAACAGG
rnacentral:rRNA from 1 species